GGGAAUCUACCGUGCCCUGCGGAAUAGCUCCGGGAAACUGGAAUUAAUACCGCAUACGCCCUACGGGGGAAAGAUUUAUCGGGGUAUGAUGAGCCCGCGUUGGAUUAGCUAGUUGGUGGGGUAAAGGCCUACCAAGGCGACGAUCCAUGGCUGGUCUGAGAGGAUGAUCAGCCACAUUGGGACUGAGACACGGCCCAAACUCCUACGGGAGGCAGCAGUGGGGAAUAUUGGACAAUGGGCGCAAGCCUGAUCCAGCCAUGCCGCGUGAGUGAUGAAGGCCUUAGGGUUGUAAAGCUCUUUCACCGGAGAAGAUAAUGACGGUAUCCGGAGAAGAAGCCCCGGCUAACUUCGUGCCAGCAGCCGCGGUAAUACGAAGGGGGCUAGCGUUGUUCGGAAUUACUGGGCGUAAAGCGCACGUAGGCGGAUAUUUAAGUCAGGGGUGAAAUCCCAGAGCUCAACUCUGGAACUGCCUUUGAUACUGGGUAUCUUGAGUAUGGAAGAGGUAAGUGGAAUUGCGAGU
rnacentral:rRNA from 1 species